rnacentral:rRNA from 1 species
AUACGUAGGGUGCGAGCGUUAAUCGGAAUUACUGGGCGUAAAGCGUGCGCAGGCGGUUUUGUAAGUCAGAUGUGAAAGCCCCGGGCUUAACCUGGGAACUGCGUUUGAAACUACAAGGCUAGAGUGUGGCAGAGGGGGGUGGAAUUCCACGUGUAGCAGUGAAAUGCGUAGAGAUGUGGAGGAACACCGAUGGCGAAGGCAGCCCCCUGGGUCAACACUGACGCUCAGGCACGAAAGCGUGGGGAGCAAACAGGAUUAGAUACCCUGGUAGUCCACGCCCUAAACGAUGUCAACUAGUUGUCGGGUCUUAACGGACUUGGUAACGCAGCUAACGCGUGAAGUUGACCGCCUGGGGGGUACGGUCGCAAGAUUAAA